rnacentral:rRNA from 1 species
GCAGCAGCCGCGGUAAUACGAAGGGUGCAAGCGUUACUCGGAAUUACUGGGCGUAAAGCGUGCGUAGGUGGUGGUUUAAGUCCGUUGUGAAAGCCCUGGGCUCAACCUGGGAAUUGCAGUGGAUACUGGGUCACUAGAGUGUGGUAGAGGAUAGUGGAAUUUCCGGUGUAGCAGUGAAAUGCGUAGAGAUCGGAAGGAACAUCUGUGGCGAAGGCGACUAUCUGGGCCAACACUGACACUGAGACACGAAAGCGUGGGGAGCAAACAGGAUUAGAUACCCGCGUAGUCCCUGUCUCUUAUAC